CAAUAGCGUAUAUUAAAGUUGUUGCGGUUAAAAAGCUCGUAGUUGGAUUUCUGCCGAGGACGUCCGGUCCGCCCUCUGGGUGUGUACAUGGUACGGCCUGGGCAUCUUCUUGGAAAACGUAUCUGCACUUGACUGUGUGGUGCGGUAUCCAGGACUUUUACUUUGAGGAAAUUAGAGUGUUUCAAGCAGGCCUACGCCUUGAAUACAUUAGCAUGGAAUAAUAAGAUAGGACCUCGGUUCUAUUUUGUUGGUUUCUAGAGCUGAGGUAAUGAUUAAUAGGGAUAGUUGGGGGCAUUCGUAUUUAACUGUCAGAGGUGAAAUUCUUGGAUUUGCUAAAGACGGACUACUGCGAAAGCAUUUGCCAAGGAUGUUUUCAUUG
rnacentral:rRNA from 1 species